UACGUAGGUGGCAAGCGUUGUCCGGAUUUAUUAGGCGUAAAGCGCGCGCAGGCGGUCCGCUAAGUCCGAGGUGAAAUCUCCCGGCUCAACUGGGAGGGGUCUUCGGAUACUAACGGACUCGAGGAGAGCAGAGGUGAGUGGAAUUCUCGGUGUAGUGGUGAAAUGCGUAGAUAUCGAGAGGAACACCGGUGGCGAAGGCGGCUCACUGGGCUCCACCUGACGCUGAGGCGCGAAAGCGUGGGGAGCGAACCGG
rnacentral:rRNA from 1 species